ACUCAUAAUUCGUGGAGGAUUUUCCUUCCGCCGGUCCCCCGCCCUGCACCUCCCUCGUCCUUUCAGAGGAGCUUUCUGAGCGUCGGCCGUGUAUCCUUCGCAGAGUCAUCAGUCAACAGGACAGAAAGGAGGGAUAUUCUGCUUCCUCGCUUAUCGAUGUUUGUGCGGGAAUGCGAUUGAUGUCGGCAACACUGCUUACUCCUAACCAAAUGUUCUGCUGACAAGACCACGACUCGCCCACUGAGAGGUUUUCCAGCCAGAUGUUGUAGGAAAGUCACGUGAAGCAGGCGGAGACUUGAGAAACGUCGAAGCUCAGGGUCGAACCUGACCUGCCGCCGCCGAAGGGAUUAUUGUCACUUUGGUUUCUGAUUGUCAGGUGCGUGGAUCUGAUCUCUCCCGCCUUUCGAAAUAAAGGAGAUGAUUGCAUUAUAUUCACCAGAAGAAAUCCCUAAAACAUGUGAUUGUGGAAGUGACGGCUGGGUUUUUUUCGCCUCGGCAAAGGAGCCUCCUCUUAAUGUGCUGAGAAAUAGCCCUGGAGUUCAAAAGGAGUAAACAAAACUCACAGCUACGGUUAUUUGAAAAUGAUCGUUUGCUAAUUGUUUUCGAAUAUUAAAUCAAGCCGCUGAA